rnacentral:rRNA from 1 species
AUUGAACGCUGGCGGCAGGCCUAACACAUGCAAGUCGAACGAGUGGCGGACGGGUGAGUAAUGUCUGGGAAACUGCCCGAUGGAGGGGGAUAACUACUGGAAACGGUAGCUAAUACCGCAUACCAUCGGAUGUGCCCAGAUGGGAUUAGCUAGUUGGUAAGGUAACGGCGUACCAAGGCAACGAGGCAUAGCCGACCUGAGCGGGUGAUCGGCCAAACUGGAACUGAGACACGGUCCAGACUCCGACGGGAGGCAGCUGUAGGGAAUCUUCCGCAAUGGGCGCAAGCCUGAGGCAGCCAUGCCGAGUGUAUGAAGAAGGCCUUCGGGUUGUAAAGUACUUUCAGCGAGGAGGCGUUACUCGCAGAAGAAGCACCGGCGAACUCCGUGCCAGCAGCCGCGGUAAUAC